UUUUCCACAUUGCAGGGUAGAUGCCAUUGUAAUAGCUGUAUGGAAAUGACAUGGUAAGGGACUUGGCUAAUUUUGUUAGAACACUGUUGGGUCUGCAAAUCCACUGGCUGAAGAUUGGCAUCUGUGAUGCUGGGGAUAUCUGGAGGAGAUUAAGAGGUUGGCAUCAUCAGAGAGAGAGGUAGUGCCAGAGAUUAAACGAACAGGAGAGAGGAAGACAUGGAGAUCGUCACCAGCACCUAAACAUGCAGGAGAGAGAGACCAAUGCAAGCUCAACCGACAUAAAGAGAAGAGGAAAAAGUCCAAAAGCAAUAUGACGGGAACACUCAUUUACGUCCUUGGGAUCAAUGAAGAGGCUCCUCAUCUCUCGUAUGAAUUAAUGAGGAUCUAGACUGAAAAUAAUACCACAGUAGACAUUUUAACAAUGCAUGUG